UACGUAGGGUGCAAGCGUUGUCCGGAAUUAUUGGGCGUAAAGAGCUCGUAGGCGGUUUGUCGCGUCGAAUGUGAAAACCCGGGGCUCAACCCCGGGCCUGCAUUCGAUACGGGCAGACUAAAGUUCGGUAGGGGAGUCUGGAAUUCCUGGUGUAGCGGUGAAAUGCGCAGAUAUCAGGAGGAACACCGGUGGCGAAGGCGGGACUCUGGGCCGAUACUGACGCUGAGGAGCGAAAGCGUGGGGAGCGAACAGG
rnacentral:rRNA from 1 species